rnacentral:lncRNA from 1 species
AAUGAUAUUGGCACGAGUCAAGCUUUUCGAGAAAUCAUAAGCCUCGUUGUUUAUUUAGGUGAAAUGAAUCUAUUUUAUCUUAUUAAAAUCAGUUCGAAAUGCUGUGAAUCAUUUUUAUGCUAAUCUAUUUUAUCUGUCUUAAUUUACUUGGCUUUAGAUAUUUUAGAUGAUAUUUGUUUACUCAUUGGGAUUAUAUAAUCUCACCACCCUCCUUUCCACCCCUUUCAAGCUCAAGAUAGUCGGUAGAUAGCUCAUUUCAUUGAGGGUUACAGUUGGACUUGCAUCCUAAAAAACUGUAGGUUUACCGCUUUUGAUACUUUUGGUAGUUCGUGGGCCCACAUGUCACUGUAAAUUAAAUCUUAUGCUUUGGUUAUCUGUAUUAUAGUAUGUAUAAAUUUAUUUAGUUUUUACGCAAAAUUAUUUACUGGUAACUCUAUAAAUAUUGUUUUGUAAGAAAAUAAAAUAUUUUUAUUAUAUUCAAAUAGGUAUAGUUNAAAUGCCCCUAGUAAGAAAAAAAUUAUUUUUCUAUUGUUUUGAUUUGGAAAUAGUUUAUAAUCUCUCAAAACAUGAUACUUAACAACUGUUGCUCACAGGGGAGGUGCGAAAACUGAUAUUAAAACCUUGCGAGGUUCCGGUUGGCAUCCGAGCAAUGAAUGUCUAUCGGGACGUCGCAGCGGUUGUCACGGGCUCGAGGGGAGUACCGAGUCUUGACACAUUAACUCAGGAGGAAAUGGGAAGACAUAGUAGAAAUAAACAAUGUAAAAGCCCAAUUUGGGAUUAUCUCUGUUAAGCUAUGGUGAUGUAUAAAUCACUAUAUUUCAAAGGAAGAUUAAGACAUUUAGGUGGAUAUUUAAGAAACACAAUCUAGGGUUGUUGUCAAACAUGACUUGGUUAACUUUUUAUUUGAUUAAUUUAUCUUUCUAUUUGAGUAAAUAAAUAGUAAUUAAAAGACAUGUCUGUUACAAG